CCUUCCGGUGAGCCUUCGGGUUUAAACGGACGCGGUAAAUCGUGCUAAGGUAGCUAAAUUAUGGCCUAUUAAUUGUAGGUCCUGUGAAUGGUUUGACGAGUCUUCAACUGUCUCUAGUUUGUUUUGGUGAAAUUGAAUUGGAUGUGCAAAUGCUUCCAUGGAUGAGAAAGACGAGAAGACCCCGUGAAGUUAGAAAUUAAAGCCACAGACGUUAAUCCCUUAAGCUUGCUGGCUGACUUGGUGGUGCCUUUGGCUUAAUACAAGUGGGGGGGGGUGGUGGUAGUUUUGGCUGGGGCAGCAAAGGAGCAAGACUAGACUCCUAUUUUAUGAAAGGCAGUUGUGCUACGACCCACAGUGGUGUUGUUGUGUGAUUAGCAGAAGAAGUUACUCCGGGGAUAACAGCGUUAUCCGUCUUGAUAGUUCUUAUAGAUGGGCGGGUUUGCGACCUCGAUGUUGGCUCUGGAUAUCCUUAGGCUUGCAGGCGGUCUUUAGGGUUGGUUCGUUCGCCCAUGAAAAUCCGACGUGAUCUG
rnacentral:rRNA from 1 species